rnacentral:rRNA from 1 species
GCUUAACGCGAAGAACCUUACCUACUCUUGACAUCCAGAGAACUUAGCAGAGAUGCUUUGGUGCCUUCGGGAACUCUGAGACAGGUGCUGCAUGGCUGUCGUCAGCUCGUGUUGUGAAAUGUUGGGUUAAGUCCCGCAACGAGCGCAACCCUUAUCCUUUGUUGCCAGCGGUUAGGCCGGGAACUCAAAGGAGACUGCCAGUGAUAAACUGGAGGAAGGUGGGGAUGACGUCAAGUCAUCAUGGCCCUUACGAGUAGGGCUACACACGUGCUACAAUGGCGCAUACAAAGAGAAGCGACCUCGCGAGAGCAAGCGGACCUCAUAAAGUGCGUCGUAGUCCAGAUUGGAGUCUGCAACUCGACUCCAUGAAGUCGGAAUCGCUAGUAAUCGUAGAUCAGAAUGCUACGGUGAAUACGUUCCCGGGUCUUGUACACACCG